rnacentral:lncRNA from 1 species
GGUUAUAUGGAUUCCAUGAAUCAAAUCUUUUAUCUUCUUUUAGCUUAAAUUUGAUGUGUUUCGGACGUCCGAAUAUUACGUUCACAAUGAAUAUCCCACAAACGUGAGAUGUCGACGUAGAAAAGAGUGACAUUAAGACGGAGAUUCUACGUACGAUGGAUGGCCAAAACGGAUAUCCAAUCGCAUAAUUGAACAACAAAACUUUUGUAAGAAUAGUUUUUUUUAACAACAAGUCCAUUAACUGCUAAGAAAAAUAAAACCCUCCAUUUUAUGACAUUCUCUGGCUACUUCCUGCUACCCAACUAGCGGUAGAUGUUUAAAAAGCACUGAUUAAAUCUCUUUUGGGUUUUAUUUUUUUAGCAGUUAAUAUCUCUGAAAAUAAGCCAUGCAUAACAAAAGGGCGUUGCACAAGAUUGCAGUUUGCAUGAAUAUAAUUUAAAAACGAGAUAGGCCAUUCCAUGUGAAAUUCAUUCUACCUUUUUUUGGUACACAGUAAAUUUGAGGAGCUGUUCAUAUAGCGUUAGUUUGUAAUAAUUGCAAAUAUGCGGUCAGUCAUGCGGGGUAAACAUUUCAACUAGGGCUUUUUGGGACACCUUCAAGCCAGCCAAAAAAGGGGGGAGUUUCCCAAGUACAGGUACGACAAAAAUAGAUAUAUUCAUUAAAAAAUUGUAGCUAACUACAGUAUUCAAAUUAAUUAAUUCUGAAAAAAAUAUAAAGAUGAGGGGAGAAAAUUUCCCAUUACUUUUGUAUAAAAAAGGGGAAAUUCAUCUAAUUUUGUGCUACUUAAAGCUACUUGAAAAUUAUUUUAGAAUCCCACGUAGCCCUGAUAUCCCCUACUUCCCAUAGCAGAAUGGUAAAAAAAAGAUCCCAUCUAUGAUUUGGUGUGUUUGAGCGAGGAUUGCUUGAUAAAAUGAAGAAAAGGAACUGUACGGCAUAAAACGUUAAAGGUAGCUUUCAACAAUAAAGAAAAAGAGAAAAUGAAAGGCGGGAUUUGGUUCAAAAAAUAUAUUUUUGCUUUGUGGUUUUCGUUUGUCGAUAAAGAAGUCAAGCAAUCAGCUAACACGUAAAUCAGUUGUUUGCUGGAACCGUUCCACGACACAAAUGUAAACAGGGAGUUCCUGAUAUUAUAUUUGAUCAUAUUGUUACGCGCCAGGAAGAGAGGACGAAUAGAGGAGACUGGGGAUGUCCAGAUUGGACGGACAAAGUGACGCAGUUUAAACGUCGAGGACGAGACGUUGGAAAAACGAGAGAGUAGAGAGGCGGAAGAGGCAGAGGAGGACUAGCAGGAAAGGAGUACAGAGGUGUCGAGAACAAGAGAAGAGGAAGCUAGGGACCAGAUACGGGGAACUAAGAGAGUUAAUUACACGUAACUGUUUGCAUAAAUGGAAUUUACUGUGCGUGUUGUGUGCCUGUUAUAUAGUCAAGGUGAGGUCGACUGGUCUUCUGGCGUUGGAUGAAAACAAUGUGGAGGACUUUGUAAAGAGGAAGCAUGCAGGGCGAUUUUCCCCACAGUGAAGCCAGUCGGCUGCUCCUUUCACUUGACACAGUCCUUCUACCGCAACAUCGAGGCUAAAGAACUAAGUCCAGCCUAUAGAAAGGACAGCCAGACCCGGAAAACCUGUCGGGAAUUGCUUAGCCUGCACCUGCUGCCAGCCGAAAAAAUUCGCAAAAGGUUCGAGAGCAUCGCAUCCAUCGCGACAGGGCUAAUGUUGCGUUUCUGCAACUAUGUGGAAACAAUCUACAUAAACAGCACAAUUUGGCCACCAGAUUGCUGGUCUAUGUUUAUGCAGCAAGACUUGCAUCAACCAAUCUUGUGAUCUUUUUUAAUAAAGAUUCACGGGGAGGUGGAGAAAAUUGCCAUGGCAGCAAAAAAUUUUUCACAAAAACAAGUCCUUAAAAAACUGAACAAGGACGGAGAAUCAAAACAGCGCCAUCUGACCACCAUAUGGGAAUCUUUUACCAGACCGGACAACCCUAUUUCCCCUAAAGAGAUGCUUUUGCAGCUCGCGUUGCUCACAAAGAAGCACUCAAAAGCGGAUCUGAGAGAGCUGAGGGACGGCCCAGAGAACGAAGAUUCUGAUUAAUGUCUUCACUAUAGUCUUCCCUUUUAUUUAUUCUGUUCUAUCUGUAUGGUUUAAAUACAAUUCCUUAUAAGCACUA